AUUCCAUGAUUAGGGCACUUUCAUAAUAAUUCUUUGUACCUUUCCCAUGCAUCAUACAGGGACUCAUCAUCCAUUUGUUGGAAGGUAGUGAUCUCAUUCCUCAACAU
rfam:Gossypium raimondii chromosome 12, whole genome shotgun sequence.